rnacentral:lncRNA from 1 species
CAAGAUUUAAUUAUUUGAGAAUAUGACCUUCAACAGACAUGUGCAAAGCCACAGACCUCUGGGCGGUCCUGGGUUAAGCUAGAGCCACCAUUGGCACAGGGAAGACAUGGACAGUGAUUGGUAGAUGUGAGAACUGAGGGGAGGGAACUUGGAUGGUUUCCUUAAAGAUAGCUGGGUCAGAGGGGGUGGUUGGAGAGGUUUGGCUCUGAGAGGUUGUGCUCUGAGAAGCUUGCUCUGAAGGAAGCUGAAGGUGGAGGCCCCUGAGACUGUUUCUCCAUUUUGGUCACGGUACUGUCAUGUCCAUGGAUCCUAGCCCUGAAGAUGCUGCAGAACUGUACAGGACUGGAAAUUUCAGGAACUCGCUGAGGGAGGUGCGACCCUUAUCCC